rnacentral:rRNA from 1 species
AGUGAACGCUGGCGGUAGGCCUAACACAUGCAAGUCGAACGGCAGCACAGUAAGAGCUUGCUCUUACGGGUGGCGAGUGGCGGACGGGUGAGGAAUACAGCGGAAUCUACUUUUUCGUGGGGGAUAACGUAGGGAAACUUACGCUAAUACCGCAUACGACCUACGGGUGAAAGCAGGGGAUCUUCGGACCUUGCGCGAUUGAAUGAGCCGAUGUCGGAUUAGCUAGUUGGCGGGGUAAAGGCCCACCAAGGCGACGAUCCGUAGCUGGUCUGAGAGGAUGAACCGCCAGACUGGAACUGAGGCACGGCCCAGACUCCUACGGGAGGCAGCAGUGGGGAAUAUUGGACGAUGGGGCAAAGCCUGAUCCAGCCAUACCGCGUGGGUGAAGAAGGCCUUCGGGUUGGAAAGCCCUUUUGUUGGGAAAGAAGAGCAGCAGGUUAAUACCCCGCUGUUCUGACGGUACCCAAAGAAUAAGCACCGGCUAACUUCGUG